rnacentral:rRNA from 1 species
UACGUAGGGGGCAAGCGUUGUCCGGAAUCAUUGGGCGUAAAGAGCGUGUAGGCGGUCCGGUAAGUCCGCUGUGAAAGUCGAGGGCUCAACCCUGGGAUGCCGGUGGAUACUGUCGGGCUCGAGUCCGGAAGAGGAGUGUGGAAUUCCUGGUGUAGCAGUGAAAUGCGUAGAUAUGUGGAGGAACACCAAUGGCGAAGGCAGCCCCCUGGGUCAACACUGACGCUCAUGCACGAAAGCGUGGGGAGCAAACAGG